ACUAACCCCACUGAACCCUCACUGCCCUCUGUCACUCGAUAAUCUUCGCGAGAAGGUGCAAGUUGGAGCAGUUGCAGCGAGUCUUGUAGAACUUGUGAACUUGUGACGUGUAGGUGGAACAAUUACAUCUACAGUGUUGUGGGGAACCAGACGAGGCAGUGUGAGACGUGAUAGUGGUGAUGGUGGUGGUGGUGGUCACUGUCUCGGAGCCUCGGGUCAGAAGUGAAUCCUGGCAAGCCGAUGAAGCCAAACAGAGGCCACGUCCGUCCUUGGGAUGCGUGGAGGCCCCUCAUUCCUCCUUCGGUCUCUGUCCAGGAUGUGACCGGGAUCUAUUACAGGAUGUCACCGGAAAGUGAAGACCAUGUGCGAGAGAUGGCCGAUUUAGAACAAGCCGCGAGUGAGAGCGUGCGGGCCGCUGUGUAGACUUGGUAGAGUAGCGGUGGUUGUCUCGAGUCAGCGAGUCUCGUGAAGCUAAACAUCAGUCGUACUCGCCCAUCAUUGUCUGCAAAGUUAAGUGCCGCUCCUGGUAGUUUUGAUAAGAUUUCAUCAGUAAUGUUUUCAAGAUUUCAUUAGUAAUGUUUUCAAAGGCUAGAGUAAAUAUAUAUAGUUUGGAAGUUGUGGGAGUUAUUGGUGGUGUGUAAUAGAUUAUGAAUUGUCACUGGAAUCGUGGGAGAAUCUUUCAAAAAAAAUGGGAGUUAUUGGUGGUGUGUAAUAGAUUAUGAAUUGUCACUGGAAUCGUGGGAGAAUCUUUCAAAAAAAAUAACUUAAUCAGUCCGAAUGCUUGUUCUAUGUUCUCAUAACUUAAGCGUUUCGCGAAGUUACAUGGUGACUGAAGUGUGCGGGCUGUGAAUGUCAUCGAUUGAGCAUUGUGAGCUAGUCGCAGAAUGUUGACUUAAAGCGAGGCUGUCUCUCCAGUGAGAAAAGUGAAGUCCCUGCGAGCUGCAUGUGGCUUACUGCAAACAGUUCCCGGUGUCCAGUUUGUAAGAAGCUUCCAGUAUCUACUAGCUUGGUUUUAAUUUUUUUAUGGUCUUUGGUGAAGAAACUCCCAGAUUCGUGUAUUUUGGAAGCAUUUGGUUUAUUCAACUAAAGUACAAUAAAAAACGCUAACCAUGCAUGCGUUUAUAGAAAAAUUCGGGAAAUGUUUUUCACUUCUUUAUUGAAGUAGUUACAGGAUUUGGAAUCCUUAUAUUUCGAAAUUUGUUUGAGGCUCUGGUCUUUGUGGUUUGGGUUUUGGGAUAUGGAAAUCUUCACGGUGCGAUUUUUUUUUUUUUUUUUUUUUUUC